rnacentral:rRNA from 1 species
AACGUAGGACGCAAGCGUUAUCCGGAGUUACUGGGCGUAAAGCGCGGGCAGGCGGUUCUGCCAGUCUGAUGUGAAAUCUCCUCGCUCAACGGGGAGCAGCCAUUGGAAACUACAGAACUGGAGUCUGGCAGAGGUAGGCGGAAUUCCGGGUGGAGUGGUGAAAUGCGUAGAGAUCCGGAGGAACACCAGAGGCGAAGGCGGCCUACUGGGCCAGUACUGACGCUGAGGUGCGAAAGCGUGGGGAGCAAACAGG